rnacentral:lncRNA from 1 species
GGGAGGCCAAGUGGAUUUGUGCCAUCUCCCAGGGAGUCACAGCCUGUUCGAUGUCCUCGUCAUUCGCAACAUCACUAAAAUGGCUUGUCUCGGCUCUUCUGCCUUCAUCGUGGCAACGAACCUGUGAUUAGGAAAUGCCAGUGCUUCUCCAUCCCAACCCUCACUGACACAAAUGACUGCAUCUGUGUUUGAAUAAUAACAUCUCCCGUGAUGGCCUGAUCUUGGCAGUAAGGCACUGCUCCGGCAUCUGAAAGCCCAUCAGAGAGUUGGAGAAAACACCCCCAGAGAAAGAAAAGCAGUGCAGUCGAGAGCAGGGGAAGGGGUGCUAACGACAGACCACAGCGAUGCCUCACUUUGCUCUGGAUGCAGCCUUGUCCUGAAAAUCACAGUUCUCUUCCUGUUGGACCUGAGCCGCAUCCCAGCGUUACCUGUAGAGUCACCCCGCUCCAGGAGCCUGAACUGAGUCCACACACUGAACUCACAGACCUGCAGGGGGAGAUGGAAGAAAGAAAAUCAACAGGUUUUGAGGAUGAGAAGAACCCAAGUAAUGGCAGAGGAGGUGCUGUGCAAGAGAGAUUGCUGCAGUGGCAUCCAGGACUGUCAGUGGAAGUGGGGAAUGACAUGACACCACCUUUCGGACACCCAACUGGCAAGAGGUAAAAGAGGAAGGGACAGUCAGCCCACUGUAUACAAUGACAUGCAAGACCUAACUCUCACGUUGGUUCAACCCAAACCAGCGAGAAGCAAUCUAUGGUCAUACUGAGUCUUGGGCCCAGUCUAAACGGUGGAGCUUUGGGAUACAAAUCUCUCAAAUGCAACACAAUGGAAAGAGUUUUUGUUCAGGAGUUAGAAGAGGGAGUAUGUGGGGAUGUUGGGUUUCCUCACUUUGGAGUUCCAUCGUGGCUCAGCAGAAACAAAUCUGUCUAGCAUCCAUGAGGUCACAGGUUCAAUCUCUGGCCUCGCUCAGUGGGUUAAGUAUCUGUCAUUGCUCCAAACUGCACUCUAGGUCACAGAUGCGUUUUGUAUCUGUCUUGCUGUGCC